rnacentral:rRNA from 1 species
AACGAACGCUGGCGGCAGGCCUAACACAUGCAAGUCGAGCGCCCUUUCGGGGGAGCGGCGGACGGGUGAGUAACGCGUGGGAAUAUGCCCUUCUCUACGGAAUAGCCUCGGGGAACUGAGAGUAAUACCGUAUACGCCCUGUGGGGGAAAGAUUUAUCGGGGAAGGAUUAGCCCGCGUUGGAUUAGGUAGUUGGUGGGGUAAUGGCCUACCAAGCCGACGAUCCAUAGCUGGUUUGAGAGGAUGAUCAGCCACACUGGGACUGAGACACGGCCCAGACUCCUACGGGAGGCAGCAGUGGGGAAUCUUAGACAAUGGGGGCAACCCUGAUCUAGCCAUGCCGCGUGAGUGAUGAAGGCCUUAGGGUUGUAAAGCUCUUUCAGCUGGGAAGAUAAUGACGGUACCAGCAGAAGAAGCCCCGGCUAACUCCGUG